rnacentral:tRNA from 1 species
GCCGGUUUAGCUUAAUGGUAAAGCAACGGUUUUGUAAACCGUAGAGUGUCGGUUCGAUUCCGACAACCGGCU